rnacentral:rRNA from 80 species
UGACCUCGGAUCAGGUAGGGAUACCCGCUGAACUUAAGCAUAUCAAUAAGCGGAGGAA